rnacentral:rRNA from 1 species
UACGUAGGUGACAAGCGUUGUCCGGAUUUACUGGGCGUAAAGAGCGCGCAGGCGGUCGAUCAAGUCGAGUGUGAAAGCCCCCGGCUCAACUGGGGAGGGUCAUUCGAUACUGAUCGACUCGAAGGCAGGAGAGGGUAGUGGAAUUCCUGGUGUAGCGGUGAAAUGCGUAGAUAUGUGGAGGAACACCGAUGGCGAAGGCAGCCCCCUGGGUUAACACUGACGCUCAUGCACGAAAGCGUGGGGAGCAAACAGG